rnacentral:ncRNA from 1 species
UGGUCCUAGCCUUGUAAUCAGUCUUUACUCAACUUACACAUGCAAGUCUCCGCACCCCUGUGAAAACGCCCUCUAACCCCUUAAGGGACGAGGAGCCGGUAUCAGGCUCAAUCAUUAGCCCAAGACACCUAGCUUUGCCACACCCACAAGGGAAUUCAGCAGUGAUUAACAUUGAUAAUAAGCGCAAGCUUGACUCAGUCAGAGUAAUUAGAGCCGGCAAAUCUGGUGCCAGCCGCCGCGGCUAUACCACGAGGCCCAAACUGAUCCCCUUCGGCGUAAAGCGUGAUUAAAGUGACCCCAGACUGUAGAUAAACUAGUAUUUAGCUGUGAUACGCUGGUUUCUAGGAAAAACAAAAACGAAAGUUGCUACAGCAGAACCCGCUUGACCUCACGACAGCUAAGACACAAACUGGGAUUAGAUACCCCACUAUGCUUAGCCGUAAACCUUAACUUACACCCAAAUCGCCAGGGAACUACGAGCAACGCUUAAAACCCAAAGGACUUGACGGUGCCCCACAUCCACCUAGAGGAGCCUGUCCUAUAAUCGAUAACCCCCGUUCUACCUCACCACUUUUUGCCUAUCAGCCUGUAUACCUCCGUCGUCAGCUUACCACGUGAGCGCCCUCCAGUAAGCGUAAAAGCCCCCCGCUAAAACGUCAGGUCAAGGUGCAGCUAAUGAAGUGGGAAGAGAUGGGCUACACUCUCUAGUUUAGAAGACACAGAAGACUACUCAUGCAACUUAGUCAGAAGGCGGAUUUAGAAGUAAAUGGGGACAAGAGAGCCCCCUUUAACACGGCCCUGGGGUGUGUACACACCGCCCGUCACCCUCUUCGAAGCCUAUAUAUUAGUUUCUUAACACCUCUUAUGCAAAUAAGAAGAGGCAAGUCGUAACAUGGUAAGCUUACCGGAAGGUGUGCUUGGAAA